rnacentral:rRNA from 1 species
UUGGGUUGUAAACCCCUUUUGUCAGGGAAGAAGAAAGUGACGGUACCUGAGGAAUCAGCCUCGGCUAACUCCGUGCCAGCAGCCGCGGUAAUACGGAGGAGGCAAGCGUUAUCCGGAAUGAUUGGGCGUAAAGCGUCUGUAGGUGGCUAUUCAAGUCUGCUGUCAAAGCCUGAGGCUCAACCUCAGAUCGGCAGUGGAAACUGGGUAGCUUGAGUGCGGUAGGGGCAGAGGGAAUUCCCGGUGUAGCGGUGAAAUGCGUAGAGAUCGGGAAGAACACCGGUGGCGAAAGCGCUCUGCUGGGCCGCAACUGACACUGAGGGACGAAAGCUAGGGGAGCGAAUGGGAUUAGAUACCCCAGUAGUCCUAGCCGUAAACGAUGGAAACUAGGUGUUGCCUGUAUCGACCCGGGCAGUGCCGUAGCUAACGCGUUAAGUUUCCCGCCUGGGGAGUACGCACGCAAGUGUGAAACUCAAAGGAAUUGACGGGGGCCCGCACAAGCGGUGGAGUAUGUGGUUUAAUUCGAUGCAACGCGAAGAACCUUACCAGGGCUUGACAUGUCCGGAAGCCUGGGGAAACCCGGGUGUGCCUUCGGGAACCGGAACACAGGUGGUGCAUGGCUGUCGUCAGCUCGUGUCGUGAGAUGUUGGGUUAAGUCCCGCAACGAGCGCAACCCUCGUUCUUAGUUGCCAGCAUUAAGUUGGGCACUCUAGGGAGACUGCCGGUGACAAACCGGAGGAAGGUGGGGAUGACGUCAAGUCAUCAUGCCCCUUACGUCCUGGGCUACACACGUACUACAAUGGGGAGGACAGAGGGCAGCCACUUCGCGAGAAGGAGCUAAUCCCGAAAACCUUUCCUCAGUUCAGAUUGCAGGCUGCAACUCGCCUGCAUGAAGGAGGAAUCGCUAGUAAUCGCAGGUCAGCAUAUUGCGGUGAAUCCGUUCCCGGGCCUUGUACACACCGCCCGUCACACCAUGGAAGUUAGCCCGGCCCCAAGUCAUUACUC